rnacentral:rRNA from 1 species
CACGUGGGUGAUCUGCCCUGCACUUCGUGAUAAGCUUGGGAAACUGGGUCUAAUACCGGAUAGUAGCCAUCUUUAGUGUGGUGGUUGGAAAGUUUUUUCGGUGUAGGAUGAGCUCGCGGCCUAUCAGCUUGUUGGUGGGGUAAUGGCCUACCAAGGCGGCGACGGGUAGCCGGCCUGAUAGGGUGUACGGCCACAUUGGGACUGAGAUACGGCCCAG